ACGAACGCUGGCGGCGUGCUUAACACAUGCAAGUCGAACGGUGAAGGGAUCAGCUUGCUGGUUCUGGAUGAGUGGCGAACGGGUGAGUAACACGUGAGUAACCUGCCCCCUUCUUCUGGAUAACCGCAUGAAAGUGUGGCUAAUACGGGAUAUUCUGCGCCUGCUGCAUGGUGGGUGUGGGAAAGAUAUUGUUUCGGUGGGGGAUGGGCUCGCGGCCUAUCAGCUUGUUGGUGGGGUGAUGGCCUACCAAGGCGGUGACGGGUAGCCGGCCUGAGAGGGUGGACGGUCACACUGGGACUGAGACACGGCCCAGACUCCUACGGGAGGCAGCAGUGGGGAAGAUUGCACAAUGGGCGCAAGCCUGAUGCAGCGACGCCGCGUGAGGGAUGGAGGCCUUCGGGUUGUGAACCUCUUUCGCCAGUGAAGCAGGCCUGUCCCUUGUGGGUGGGUUGACGGUAGCUGGAUAAGAAGCGCCGGCUAACUACGUG
rnacentral:rRNA from 1 species